ACUCCUACGGGAGGCAGCAGUGGGGAAUAUUGCACAAUGGGGGAAACCCUGAUGCAGCCAUGCCGCGUGUGUGAAGAAGGCCUUCGGGUUGUAAAGCACUUUCAGUAGGAGGAAGGUAGUGUAGUUAACACCUGCAUUAUUUGACGUUACCUACAGAAGAAGCACCGGCUAACUCCGUGCCAGCAGCCGCGGUAAUACGGAGGGUGCGAGCGUUAAUCGGAAUUACUGGGCGUAAAGCGCAUGCAGGCGGCCUGUUAAGUCAGAUGUGAAAGCCCGGGGUCUUAACCUCGGAAUUGCAUUUGAAACUGGCAGGCUAGAGUCUUGUAGAGGGGUUAGAAUUUCAGGUGUAGCGGUGAAAUGCGUAGAGAUCUGAAGGAAUACCGAGUGGCGAAGGCGGCCCCGUGGACAAAGACUGACGCUCAGAUGCGAAAGCGUGGGAGCAAACAGGAUUAGAUACCCCGUGGUAGACUGUCA
rnacentral:rRNA from 1 species